AAAUGGUCAAUUGACCUCUUGAGGAGUUAUUGCCCUUUAAAGCCAUUUUUUACCAAUUUUCGUAAAUUUUUGUUAUCAUAUACAAAAAUCUUCUCUUCUGAAACUAUUGGGUCAAAUAUACAAACAUAGCUACAAUCAUCAUUAGGGUAUCUUGUUUAAAAAAUGUGUGCUGUGACCAAGCCAACCAAUCAAGAUGGCCACCAUGGCUUAAAUUAGAACAUAGGGGUAAAAUGUAAAUUUUGGCUUAUAUCUCUGAAACCAAAGCAUUAUUAUAGAUAGAGAUAAACUGUAAACAGCAAUAAUGUUCAGCAAAAUAAGAUCUUAAAAUAAAGGCCAAGUUUAGAAAAUUGUAAGUAUCUUAAAUAUUAUUAUAGAUAGAGAUAAAGUUUAAAC
rnacentral:lncRNA from 1 species